AGUGAACGCUGGCGGCGUGCCUAAUACAUGCAAGUCGAACGGAGUGGCGCACGGGAGGGUAAUGUAUAGCUAAUCUGCCCUACACUAGAGGACAACAGUUGGACACGACUGCUAAUACUCUAUAGUGAAGGAUGAGGCUAUAUUGUAUCAGCUAGUUGGUGAGGUAAUGGCUCACCAAGGGUAUGACGCAUAACUGGUCUGAGAGGAUGAUCAGUCACACUGGAACUGAGACACGGUCCAGACUCCUACGUGAGGCAGCAGUAGGUAAUAAUGGUCAAUGGGCGAAACCCUGAAGCAGCAACGCCGUGUGGAGGAUGACACUUUUCGGAGAGUAAACUCCUUUUGUUAGGGAAGCGGUACCUAACGAAUAAGCACCGGCUAACUCCGUGCCAGCCGCCGCGGUAAUAC
rnacentral:rRNA from 1 species